UACGUAGGUGGUUUAUUAAGUCAGAUGUGAAAGCCCUGGGCUUAACCUGGGAACUGCAUUUGAUACUGGUAAACUAGAGUAUGGUAGAGGGGGGUAGAAUUCCUAGUGUAGCGGUGAAAUGCGUAGAUAUUAGGAGGAAUACCAGUGGCGAAGGCGGCCCCCCUGGGCCUAUACUGACACUGAGGUACGAAAGCGUGGGUAGCGAACA
rnacentral:rRNA from 1 species